UACGUGAGGGCGCAAGCGUUAUCCGGAAUUAUUGGGCGUAAAGGGUGCGUAGGCGGCGCGGUAAGUCGGGUGUGAAAUCUCGGAGCUUAACUCCGAAACUGCAUUCGAUACUGCCGUGCUUGAGGACUGGAGAGGAGACUGGAAUUUACGGUGUAGCGGUGAAAUGCGUAGAUAUCGUAAGGAAGACCAGUGGCGAAGGCGGGUCUCUGGACAGUUCCUGACGCUGAGGCACGAAGGCCAGGGGAGCAAACGGG
rnacentral:rRNA from 1 species